rnacentral:tRNA from 1 species
ACAGGGGUAGUAUAAUAAGUACAUUAAAUUUCCAAUUUGGUGGUCCGAUGUUCGGUUCUUGUA